rnacentral:rRNA from 1 species
UGAGGAAUUUUGCGCAAUGGAGGAAACUCUGACGCAGCGACGCCUCGUGAACGAUGAAGUCUUUCGGGAUGUAAAGUUCUGUCAGUGGGGACGAAUAAUGACGGUACCCACAGAGGAAGCACCGGCUAACUACGUGCCAGCAGCCGCGGUAAUACGUAGGGUGCAAGCGUUAUCCGGAAUUAUUGGGCGUAAAGGGUGCGUAGGCGGUUAGAUAAGUUAGGUGUGAAAGCCACAGGCUCAACUUGUGGUUGCGCCUAAAACUGUUUAGCUAGAGGAUACUAGAGGAAAGCGGAACUCGUGGUGUAGCGGUGAAAUGCGUAGAUAUCACGAGGAACACCAGUAGCGAAGGCGGCUUUCUGGGGUAUUUCUGACGCUGAGGCACGAAAGCAUGGGGAGCAAACAGG